rnacentral:rRNA from 1 species
AGAGUUUCAUCCUGGCUCAGGACGAACGCUGGCGGCGCGCCUAACACAUGCAAGUCGAACGAGCGAGAGAGAGCUUGCUUUCUCAAGCGAGUGGCGAACGGGUGAGUAACGCGUGAGGAACCUGCCUCAAAGAGGGGGACAACAGUUGGAAACGACUGCUAAUACCGCAUAAGCCCACAGCUCGGCAUCGAGCAGAGGGAAAAGGAGCAAUCCGCUUUGAGAUGGCCUCGCGUCCGAUUAGCUAGUUGGUGAGGUAACGGCCCACCAAGGCAACGAUCGGUAGCCGGACUGAGAGGUUGAACGGCCACAUUGGGACUGAGACACGGCCCAGACUCCUACGGGAGGCAGCAGUGGGGAAUAUUGCACAAUGGGGGAAACCCUGAUGCAGCGACGCCGCGUGGAGGAAGAAGGUCUUCGGAUUGUAAACUCCUGUUGUUGAGGAAGAUAAUGACGGUACUCAACAAGGAAGUGACGGCUAACUACGUGCCAGCAGCCGCGGUAAAACGUAGGUCACAAGCGUUGUCCGGAAUUACUGGGUGUAAAGGGAGCGCAGGCGGGAAGACAAGUUGGAAGUGAAAUCUAUGGGCUCAACCCAUAAACUGCUUUCAAAACUGUUUUUCUUGAGUAGUGCAGAGGUAGGCGGAAUUCCCGGUGUAGCGGUGGAAUGCGUAGAUAUCGGGAGGAACACCAGUGGCGAAGGCGGCCUACUGGGCACCAACUGACGCUGAGGCUCGAAAGUGUGGGUAGCAAACAGGAUUAGAUACCCUGGUAGUCCACACCGUAAACGAUGAUUACUAGGUGUUGGAGGAUUGACCCCUUCAGUGCCGCAGUUAACACAAUAAGUAAUCCACCUGGGGAGUACGACCGCAAGGUUGAAACUCAAAGGAAUUGACGGGGGCCCGCACAAGCAGUGGAGUAUGUGGUUUAAUUCGACGCAACGCGGAGAACCUUACCAAGUCUUGACAUCCCUUGACGAACAUAGAAAUAUGUUUUCUCUUCGGAGCAAGGAGACAGGUGGUGCAUGGUUGUCGUCAGCUCGUGUCGUGAGAUGUUGGGUUAAGUCCCGCAACGAGCGCAACCCUUACUGUCAGUUACUACGCAAGAGGACUCUGGCAGGACUGCCGUUGACAAAACGGAGGAAGGUGGGGAUGACGUCAAAUCAUCAUGCCCUUUAUGACUUGGGCUACACACGUACUACAAUGGCGUUAAACAAAGAGAAGCAAGACCGCGAGGUGGAGCAAAACUCAGAAACAACGUCCCAGUUCGGACUGCAGGCUGCAACUCGCCUGCACGAAGUCGGAAUUGCUAGUAACCGUGGAUCAGCAUGCCACGGUGAAUACGAUCCCGGGCGUGUACACACCGCCCGUCA